rnacentral:rRNA from 1 species
ACUCCACGGGAGGCAGCAGUGGGGAAUUUUGGACAAUGGGCGAAAGCCUGAUCCAGCAAUGCCGCGUGAGUGAAGAAGGCCUUCGGGUUGUAAAGCUCUUUUGUCAGGGAAGAAACGGUGAAAGCUAAUAUCUUUUGCUAAUGACGGUACCUGAAGAAUAAGCACCGGCUAACUACGUGCCAGCAGCCGCGGUAAUACGUAGGGUGCAAGCGUUAAUCGGAAUUACUGGGCGUAAAGCGUGCGCAGGCGGUUUUGUAAGUCUGAUGUGAAAUCCCCGGGCUCAACCUGGGAAUUGCAUUGGAGACUGCAAGGCUAGAAUCUGGCAGAGGGGGGUAGAAUUCCACGUGUAGCAGUGAAAUGCGUAGAUAUGUGGAGGAACACCGAUGGCGAAGGCAGCCCCCUGGGUCAAGAUUGACGCUCAUGCACGAAAGCGUGGGGAGCAAACAGGAUUAGAUACCCGAGUAGUCCCAU